rnacentral:lncRNA from 1 species
CUGGGAGCAAGAUGUGCCAAAUCAGCACUAAAAGCCACAGCCAGUUUAAUUUUUCAGCACCUAUUUUUCAGCACCUCAGGUUCCUAGGCACUACAGAGAUAGCACUCAUAACCUUUUUUUUUUGUUUGUUUUGUUUUUUUUUAGUGGGGAGUUAGUUUUUAAUUUUAAUUUUUGUUUUGCUUUGGUGUGUUCUUUCUUUUUCUGAAAAAAAAAAAUCAACUAUGAAGUCAGGAGGCUGGUAAUGCAUCACUUGUUUACAUAAUCACUACUGGUCCCUAAACAAGAGUGAUUAAAAAAAAAAAAAAAAAAAAGAAAAAGAAAAGCACGCAGGGUAAUUGCAGUACAAAAGUACAAACACAGAUGCUUUGAUCCCACAGCAGCAGCAUGUCAAUAAGCCUGGAAUCCCCCAACUGCUUUCUAAGAAACAACGUUUGUGCAAUGAUGUGCAGCAUCCCUAUCUGGUGGCGUGUCGUUCCCCGUGGUUUUCCUUCUCCUCAAGGCAGAGGGGAAAAAAAAAAAAAAGGAAAAAGAACAGGACAAGACAUCACCCAGGGCUAGACUCCUGUGCAUGGGGAGGCAUGCUCUUUGGACAAGGCCCCACAGAGUUACAGACAGGGUGGCCAGGCAGGAUGGGCUCAUGGGCCAGGAGCAAGUUGCUCCAAUUGCUGAGGGACUUGCAGGGGAGUUUCAGAGCUCAUCCUUACACAAGCUUGUAUGAACCAACCCCAGCAGGUCAUGGCCCAGGCCCCAACUCCAAUGGGCUAUGACCAGAACAUAGCAGAGGUCUCCAUGCCAACGUAAGGUCAGUACGUUCUGCUGCACUGUGGCUAUGUUUUUCUCCAUGGGCUGCAGGCUUUGAAGUACAGUGACUUGAUGACAGGACUCUGCUACCAGCAGAAGAGUGGAAGAAGCAGACAUCCAACUGGUGCCCCACAUCUCGUUACCUACAGGCCCUGUUCACUGCUCACAGCGAUCUGGAAGCAGAAACUCAAGUCUCAGGCAUGCCCACGCAGCCUGGCCUCAGCCAAAAUUUCAAAUUUCCACACUUCACCAGGCUUUGGGAAUAAAAGAAAAAUCUGUUCCUGUGUCACCUGCAUUUCCAUCAGGGAGCAAGAGGCCUGGGGCAAGGCAGCCCUGCAGAACAGUGACUGCGAGGCCAAAGGCUACUCAAAGAGCUCUGUAAUGAACCGUUUCUUCACACGAAAUGGUGGCUGCACUGCAACACCCCACCGACAGAUGCCAUCACAUCUUGGUGCAUGGUAGGAAGCUGCACACAUGGUGUUAUGUUAAGCAUCAUUGCCAGUUAAUUUGGCCCAGAGCAGUGUUUGUUUUUCUCCUUUCUCUCCAUAAUAAAAAGAUCUAUAAAACCA